rnacentral:misc_RNA from 1 species
ACUGGCGGGAAAGCGUGGAAAACGCGCGCAUGGGGUGGCGGGCCGGGCUCAUUCCGUGGUGAGGCGCCGCUCAAUCGAUACACCGCUUUUGUACGACUAAAUCAACAAUUUUCCUCUAAAACAUCAUAAAUUCAACCAAACAGUUCCUUAUGAUUUUUGUUGUAAAUAUCAUUUCGUGUGCCAGUGAUUUAGUUAAGCAUCCACUAUGUGUUCUGAACCAUAAACAAGUGCGUCGCAAAACCGCUUCAGUCUAGAGAUUGUCUUCACAAAAUUGGUAGGCGUCACCAUCGGAUUGUGUCGGACUUGUAUGUAAGUGAAAUUAUAUCGGAUGCGAGGGUAGUGCGACAUUCGUGGAACGUGAAAACAAGAUGGCGACCGCGGCCCCAGCAGCUUCGUGCAUGAGCACGGAACAUGGAUGUGUCAUGUUCGACUGCCUCGUGCAUCUUUGGGAAUGGCUUGAUCCACCAGCAGCACAGAGCCAAUACCAAAUGGAGAACAAGAAGAUAGCGCCGGCGACGCAGCAGCCGCUCACGCAGCAACACCUGAUGGCUCACCAUGUCCACCCCGAGCAGAUCUACUCCCAGCAGCACCCACAACUCACCCACCUCAGCUCAACACAAACAGGCCAAAUACAACCAAACGGCGUCAUGCACCAGUUACUGCAGAGUCAGUAUCAGUCCAACAUGAAUGCGCGAUCUCCGCUCCUUGAAAACAGACACGAUUUAUACGGCACUGGACACAAUCACGAUUACGCCAGACAUUACGGAGCAAACGAUAACUAUAAUUACCCGCAGUCACCUCCGAGGCACGAACGGACAGAAGUGCACACAGAUCAAAAUGUUAAUCAUGAGCUACUCCACAAUAUUCCCAAAGGAUAUAAUGCUGAAGUAUAUCAAGAUUAUUUAAAACGCAACCCACCGAAAGAUACCAACCAAAUAUACCAAAAUCAUCAACCUAUGUAUAGGCCUAACGUUAAUCCUAAUCAGUAUGGAUCAAAGCCAUAUCUUCCAUAUUCCAAUAGAAUAGGACCACAGAGUAAUACUGAGUUAUUGCGCAGACAGUACAGUGAAAUUCAGCAAAUGAAACUGCAACAACAACUUCACUACCAGAAUCAGGCACAAAUGCAUCAACAGCAAAAGUUUGCUGAACGUCAAUUGUUACUGCAACAGAUUCAUGGAGUUCAACCGCCACCUAAUUUACAAAAUAGCAUUUACUCUGAUGGCUCUUCCUAUAGAGACUUAGACCGAUACAGUAGUAAAAAUGACUUUAAAGAAUAUAGUAGUCCUGAUAUACAAAAAGACAUCGAUAGUUAUGCCAAAAACAAUGAGUAUCAGGAAUAUGAAAAACAAAAUAGGCAAUAUGAAGCCCAAUGGAAUCAGAACCAGCAAGCCGAAUACAGAGAACAGGAACAACAGUAUCGGAGGCAAAUAGAAGCCGAUAAAGCGAAGAGCCAGUCUCCUCCGUCGGACUAUAACAACCAAAGUUUAAAGAACAACAUGAGUAUUGCUUCACCGAUGAAGUCUAGUGAGUCAAGUACUCCUAGCGUGAAGUCUCCGUCCUCGGAGAGCAGGAGAAGUAGUGGUGGGAACCAGGCACUACGCUCACCUAUAGCGCAGCGCAUACCAUCAGCUCCCGUCACUAUGUCCGGCAUUCUAUACAAACAAGGAUCAGACGGAUUGAAAGUUUGGCGGAAAAGAUGGUUCGUGCUGUCGGAGUACUGUUUGUUCUACUAUAAAAGUCAAGACGAAGAAAAACUCCUUGGCUCUGUGCUACUUCCGUCAUACAGAGUAUCGAGUUGUACUGCGGAAGAUAAAGUACUUCGGAAGUUUGCCUUCAAACUGGAGCAUGCAAACAUGAGAACUUACAUUCUCGCCGCACCUGAUCAGGAAGCCAUGAUGAAAUGGGUGAAGGCACUGACCAUGGCCGCACUUAUGCAAAGCCCCAAUGAACAGCCGCAGAAACAGAGCGAUCGGACAGCUGCUAAAACAGAGGAUGCCGAUGAAAUACCGACGUAUGCCAACGCGCCACCUAAGCCGAGACGCUCUAAUGAAGGCUACAACUCACCGAGCCCUGACAUGUACGAUCCAAACUAUGACUUACUCAAAAAGCCAGCAUCACACUACAGUCAAGGCACUAGUCACGCACGUUAUCAAGACCACGCAAAUUAUCCCGUCAGUCCAAACCAAGAGCCUACAUACACUCGCAGCCCGCAAUCUCCACCGCCAGUACAGCAGCAAACACAGUAUCAUACAAAACGACCACCCUAUGAUACGCAACAUCUCUCUCUGCCAUUGACAAACACAGUUACCGACAAACUUGAAAACAAUCAACCCAGUACAUCAUCAAUGUAUAAGUCUAACCCGCAGUCACCUUACUUUGAUAGGAAUCGAAGUCAGCAACAAGCGUCACAAGAAAUCAAGGAUCAAAUAUAUGAUAGACAACCGCAACAGAGGAAUCCAUUCCUUCAAGACACGACUCCUCAAAAUGAAGUUACUCCUAAAGACGAACGUAAUGAACAACAAAAUAAGAAUUCCCGAAGUAAUACAAGGGAAGAAAGAGCGAGGGAAGAUAGAGCGAGGGAAGACAGGUCGCAGUCGGUACACAAUGAAAUGAAUACAGAAAGUAGAAAUAAUGGUAAAUCUAACAUAGACAUGAACGCUUACAACAGAGAAGUAUACGGGGAGCUAAGUUCAAGGCCUGGAAGGGCGGGAAGUGCUAUCAAUGAGCGUUUGUUAGCUGAGAGACGUACACCAGAUGCUUAUGGAAGAUCGACUACUAUGUCUGCUUAUAAUAAAGGCAAAAUUGGAGAUUACGAAGAUGUGUAUGCACAAUACGCAACUGAAAACGAAUACGGUAAAACCUACGCCAAAUCGCCGAAUCCAUCUCAAGAUCGCGAUGGUGUCAGCAUAGCAUCUAGUCAUCAGCAACAACAACAACAACAACAGCAGCAGCAGCAACAAAAGUAUACAGGAAACUAUCCUCAAGAGAAAACAUUCAGUGGACCGUCAGUCUUACGGAGGAAAAAGAUGCAAUCAAGUGGUAUUCAACCUCCGAUGCCAAGACCACAUAGCGCUGAUUUUCUUGAAUACGAGUCUAAAGCUGAAAUGAUGAGCAGAACUGCACCUACUCGAUCGGCUUAUGAUACAUAUAAGGAGCCACAACGACCCAAAUCGAGCUUGGAUAUAAAUUCAUACUACGAUCCCAGUUCCGAUAGGUACUAUUCAGAGGAAAGCUAUGCUGAGAAGAUGCGACAAUCCGCACAAUAUUUGCAGCAAGGCUUAGUUCCAAGUGUGACUCCUAGAAAUAUGGAGAUACCCCUUGCAAAAUACGCCAGCGGUUUAGCAAAGAAACAACUGAGUACCGCGUAUUCUCAGAUGACAAAUAACAAUUAUGAAGCAGAAUUUAGUGCGGGUCGGGAUAACAUUAGCUAUAAUUCAAAAUAUGGUGAUGUCGAGGCACUGAAUUCAAAUUGGACUUUGAAAGAGAAGGAGAUUCAGAAAGAGUAUUUGAAUAGAAGUGGGAGUGUGAUGAGCGAUGGUUCAAAUGUAAGUGGAUAUGUAAAGGAGGCAGCUAAAUAUGACACUAACCCUGAUAGUUUCAUGAGGUCUGCAAGUGCAAGGCUACCGUCUACAGCUCCAGAGAAGGAAGGCGAAAAGAAAGUCCAACAGCGUGAGGAGUCCAUGAAAAGGUUAUUGGAAUGGAAACAAAGAAUGUUGCAAUCACCUCUAACAAGGAAAAGUACUCCUGCAACAAUUUCUCUCGCAAGGUCACUAAACCAUAGUCGACAAUCUCUAAGAUCUGAUCAAUAUAAGCCCAAGACCUAUACGAAUGCUUCCUAUAACAGCUACUCUUCUGACGAUGAAGCUUCUAUGACAAUGUCAGGCGCGCAUACGGAAUCUGGAACAAACAAUAACACGACAAAUCAGCAAGCAUUGUCAAAGAAAGCUUUUCUUGGAAGUAAUACAUCUAUUGGAAGGAACAGCCGGGACGCCAACAUACCGGUACGUGCAGUGAGCCCGAGGGUCAGAUGGGUGGAAGACAAACAGUCCAAUGAUCAUUACGGCUCACAACAAAUGUCAACAUCUCAGCAAAAUUUACAUGCAUUAAGUACGACAGAGGACUCUUGGGCUUCGGCUAGAUCUCCAUCUAGAGCUUCUCAGCAACCUAUCAGAGCAGUGAGUCCAAGAGUUCGGAGGAACACCGAAACAGACGACAUGCAAAGGGGCGUGCAGCAGCCGAAUCAAAAUGAGCAAUUAGGUGAGAUCCCUACUGCUGGCGAGCUUCUUGGUCGAACUCACGAAGAAUUGGUGUUACUCUUGAUCCAACUGCGGAGACGUCAUGCGGCCACUCAUCGCGCCAUCGAACAGUGCUGUGCUCAAAUCAGUAGCAUUGAGGAUUGCAUCAGUUCCUUGAAAGCUAUGGAACGUGAAGAGAGUCUUCAACGGCUCGAAUUUCUCAAGAAUCAAUUGAUGGAAUUGGAACACCAGUACGAGAAAAGCAAACCUCUCGUUCAGUUGGUAGACAAUAUGGUAAAGUUGGGGUCUCUGUACAAUAGGCCUGGUUCCACUAUCGAGAGACUUGAGAGAAACCAGAGGUUAAGACAAAAAGUCUUAGCUGAACAUGCUCUGGAGCAACAAAGAUGGCUAGAAAGUGUUGCCGCUGGUAAAUCUUUAGAAACAGAAGCAGCUAGGGCAAGAGUAGCAGAACUAUGGGCAUUAGAACAAGAACUAUCGGACGAAGCCGCUAUUCUGCAAGGACUUAAAACUGAUAAAGAUGCUAUAGAAAACUUACUAUCUGGUGUCCGUGGUAAAUUAGACAGUGUCCACAAAGGUGAUAUAAAUAUUGAUAUGAAUCCUACCAACAAUGUUCGGAGGCCGCCCCCUCCUAACACCACCGGCGGAGGCCUCGAGGAAGAACUAGCGCGCGUGCAACAAAUGUUGGCGCACAAUUCUAAGGUUUAUAAGAAACUAGAGCAGACAGUAGCAGAUAAUGCUCGUUUGGAGCGUGAGUUGCAGCAACUACGUCGUGCGUUACAAGCGAGGCGAGCGGCUGGUCACCAGCAUCACGCUACUAAUCCCACAGCUAUGUUGGAAGACGAAGUAUCACGAGUGCAGCAACUGGUGACAGCAUUGCAGCGACAACGACAGGAGCUGAGCCGCGCCGUCAGGCAUCUGACUCAACAGUCGCAUGCGCUGCAGAAUACACACGAUGCCAUGCCAGGUAAACGUCGCCCAAUGUCUUCAUGGCAAGAAACCAACCUCGACACAGGCCACACUAUCGACCACGGCCACUCCGACUACGACUAUGAUGUAGGACCCCUAAUGCCUCCUGGACAUUACGAGCCGUCUAACGUCGAGACACCUCUCUAUGUGGACACUAGGGGACCAGGUGCUGAUGUUACCUCGCCUCUGAAUAGUGAGGACUUGCAACAUGCUGGAUUCAGUAACCUCACGAAUGUAGAAAAACAAGAAAUCAAAACAGUGCGCAUAGUGAAGAGGGAGAGUGAAAGACGCCAACGAGACAGAGAACGUUCCCUCCAGCCCAUGUCUGACUGGCCUACAAACAACAUCACAGCUAACUUAGACCAGUUCCUUGAAGAAGAACUCGUGCAAUCCCUGAAUUAUUCUCGAGCAUCGUCCGUACCACGGAACGAACAAUACGAACAAGUCUACGGCAUGAGACGGGAUACUCAACAUAACAACUAUCUACAGCCAAACAUGGAUUUGAGCCCCAAAUACGUGUCUAGUCCUUCUCUCUCCAAUUACGACUACUCACAAAAUAUGUCUUCCUUGAGCAGUAGCUACAACAAGAGCUACGAUAGGUCCGGAUACGAUCGAACGAUGUCUUUAUCAACGCAGUACUUGAAUAGCCCUACAGAUAGUUCUAGAACUUUGACAAAUGAUCCUUUGUCAAAGACCAGCAGUGUUGUCAGUUUGACGAGGUCACAUAUGGAACUGUCGCCGAUAUUUAAGAGUGAGGCCGCUAAGCAGAUUAUUACGGAGAUGUCUGGGGAUGCUCCUAAGAAUGGUUCGUUGCAUCGAAGGCAAGUGCCGAAGGAAAAGAGGCGGCAUUAUACUGCACCACAUCAUCUCAGUGCUAAGACCUUGAAUGAAAUGCCUAAGGAUGCGUACAAUCAAGAUAAGCUGGGUCGCUCAGUAGACGACGCGGACAUGGAGCGAGCAUUACGCGGCGCCGCGCCCGACGUCGUGCGCUCGGCGCUGCCGCCGCAAGCUCUCCGGCUGGCGGACAACACCAUCGACCAGCUGCUCGCCGCGCCGCAGAAGAUACUCAUACCCGAGAGAUAUAUUCCGGAGAAACCUCCAGAAUUGUCUCCCGAAGAACAACAGAAGAGGCAAGAGAAAGUGGAGUCGAUAAAGAAAAUGUUGACGGGCACAUCGGCUGACCCCAACAAGAGUCCGGACGCCGACGAGAAACGGCAGCGGGAGCACUUGCUACAAAUGAACCAGAUACUCGCCAAGCAAGUCACUGAGAUGAGCAAAAUCAUCGCCGGAACCAACACUGAGCAAGGACCGUCCGCAUCCAACCACUGAUUAGCCAUACACUUACAUUUUACACCAGCACUAUUCACUUCUCCAUUCUAAACAUACCCACCCACUAAUUUCACUUUAGAUGCUAUUGCAUCUAUAACAUCAGAAAUAUCAUCAAAUAUGUUUAAAGCUACAGAAUGCUUAGAACUCAUUCCUUUCAAAUUAUAAUUUGCUUCAAAUCCAUCAAAAAUUUGACAUGUAAGUAAAUUGGCUAUCGGACGGUUCUUAGAAGACCCACUACCCCAGUGUGUUGCGGCAUGGUUUCGUUUUUUGCAUUUUGUUUGAAAGCGUUAGAAGAACUGCCUCACAACGGUAAUGCUGACGACUUGGACGAUCGCUCUCCGGAUGUUGAGUUGCCCAUCUACCAACAAAGAGACAAUUUCUUUACUUAGAAUCAUAGAAAUUUUAAUAUGGAAAUUGAUAUGACACUUAUUAUGGACAUGACAAAACUUUAAGAACAUACUAGAUUAAUCUCUGUAUGGUAUAGUUCUUUAACGAUAUCUACGAUCACUUAAAAUAAUGAAAUUAUAACGUCUAUUUGACGAUACUGGUGUUUGGCUGUCCUUGGCUUAGAAAAUAUUCAAUGAAUAAAAUAUUAGAUACUUGAAACAUACAAAAGUAUGUGAUAAUAUUAACACCUUAACCUAAAUUGAAACAUAUAAUCAAGCUGGGCUUUAAAUAAAAUAUAAGCGGUCAAUGUAGAAUGUUCAAUUAAUAGAAAUUAAAAUAUUGUUGUGUCUAAUCGUUUUUUCGUAUGUUUAUAGGUGAUUAUAAAUCAAAUAUUUAAAUCCUUUAUAGGAAAAUAGUGGUAUGUAUUCUACUUUUUAUAGUAAAUAAAAUUAUGGUGUUUAUAAUGAGAAAAGCUCGGGUUAUAAUUUGACUGCCGUAUCGAACAUCAACAUUGUUCUACUUUAUUAUUUCAUGUGUACCAGAAUGGUUUGAUAUUUUGUGGAUGACAUUUUAUGUAUAGGACUUAGAUAUUUAAACGAUAUUGAUUGAAAAUUACUCAUAGUGUGCGAUCCACAUAUCUAUCAAAAUAUCAUAUAUUACAUACAAUGUAACUAACUGCUAGGAGGUAAUAGGAAUUGGUAUCUUUUGUAGCACUUGCUCAAUUUUGUGGACAUUCCUUAGCGAUCUUUUCUUUAGUAGAAAAGCAAAUAGAAAUGUUGUUUGGAAUACUAUUACUUUGGCCAGUUUACCAUGUCGUUAUAUUCAAUAUAUCACUUCAUUGCUCAUUUGGAUAUGGUAAAAGCUUUUCACCAGUUAGAGAUGUAUAUGUAUAAGUACGUACAAACUCGUUGAUGUGAAAUAUUGGACUUAACGUCAUGUGGUUUUUAAAGAUUAUUUUUGGUAUAUAGGUAUAAUACAAGUCUUCUAUGUAAAGGGCCUUGAAUUGUUACUUUAGAUUUAAGAUAAUAGCGAAAUGUACCUAGAUGACAUUAUAAUGUAUACAGUUGCCAUGUUUAUCAAUUAGAAAGUGCACAUGAUUAUAUUCAAUAUUAAUAGUUUUAGAUAACGAAUUACAAUGCGUUUUAGUAUUAUUUCGUUAUUUUUGUGUACUUACAUGUAAAUAUGAAUUAUUGAAUUAAAUACUUAUUUUAAUACUUGUGUACUUAUAUCUUCAUUGUGUUAAUUGUAUGCACAUAGCUCGUCAAUUACUUUUGUACCUAGUAUUGUAUGAACUUAUGUGAGACCAUUAUGUAUCAACAAUAUGUAAUCUGCUUCAUAUUAUUUCGUAGCUGAAGCAACGAAUCUGUUUGUGAUUCAAAUGUACGCGGUAUUUAUCUUGUAUCAAAUGCUCUGGAGUAAAAUAGUGACAAAGAUUUGAAUGUUUCAAUAGAGUAACAUUUUAUCCAAUUUGUUGGGCUAUAUUUUGCAGAAGAUUAUGAACAAACUAGGAUUAUACUCGAAUUAACUUGGUGGCUAACAUUUUUAAUUACUUUCAUGAGCCUAAUUGGAUUUUAUAUUGUUUAAUAACUUUGGUGGGAAAGUUUAAAAAUUAUGAAUAUUUACUGCAAAAUGAAGUCCUUAAGUGGCUAGGCACUCCUAUGUAUUAUACUUAGGUAGUUACGUAUCGAUGUUCAUAAAAUAUAAAAGCUUUAAAUAUUCCUGCCUAUAAUCAUUUUUGUAGCCUUUUGUAGUUAAAAAUUGCAGGUUAGAUCAACAUUGUGUUAGAAUUUGAAGAAACAUAAUAAUUUUGUACAGAAACCAAUUUUUAAAUUUAGUGCCAUGGUUUUGCAUUUGUACUGUAUGAGGUGAUUGCUAUUUUUUCAUCGUUUGCCUAUUAAAUAUUAGAAGAAAAUAAAUAUAUUAAGAGCUCAUAGAGCUAAUUUGUAAUACCUUGCCAUUUUGCCCUUUUUACUCAGUUUUUGACAAUUACUUCCCUAAAACCCCUAAGACUGUUCCAUCUUCGUCAAAAUCAAUUUGUUUUACUGUCAAUUAUACAUCCCUAGAUAACUUUAUCCUAUCAUAAAAAUAUAUUAACUUCCAAAAAUGUAUUUACUAGUGAAUUUCAAUGUUUUUAAAUAUUUUGAUUUUGAAACACUGGAUUCUCCCGAAUUAUUGUACUGUAGGAGAUACUUAUAAACGCAUAAUAGUAUUGGUAAAAAUAUAGCAUAGUUCUCGUCUCAUUUGAUACGUGUAAGUAUUCAAAUUAUGUCAAAUAUAUCAAUUAACUGAAAAACUGCAAUUUCUGUCGGAUUGUUGAAUGAUUCCUAUAAAAUCCUAUAAAGUUAUUGAAAUAUCUUAGACACAUUUAAACUAUGUAACAAAGUAUAUGAAAAUGUAUAAGGGAGCAUUAGAGUACUUGCUAUUCCCAAAUAAUGAUAUAUAUCGCCUUAUUAGUAGACUGCCCUAUUCAAAAAUUAUUUCUAUUUCAAUAUUUAUAUAUUUAGAGAUAGGUGUUAGAACUGUAGCCCCUUGUAUUCAACGAAUGAUUCUGUAUACAUUUUAUAUUUAGCUGAAUGCUAAAGCUUAUUCAUUGACUGUUUAAACAAAAUUAGUUACUUAAAGACACUUGAAGGAAGCAAGCGGCUUGCUUGUAUCUUAGGAUUUUUACAACAAUUUUUCAGUAUAAAUUACGUCAUAUUUCAGUACAUAUUUUUGAAUAUUUUAAUUCAUUUUAAUCUAUGUUUAUUGUCUUGGUUGAAUGUUUAAAGCUGCUUGCUUUAUCAAAUAGCCUAACAGAUGCCCCAUACUAGAUGUACUAUUUUGACUGCCUUAGAAUGAGUUGUUGUGUAAAUACCUACAGGGAAUUGUGCAUAUUGUUUUAUAUAAUUGACUCUACUAUCCAAUUUUACAUCAAUCCUUGUAAUUAUAGCGCGUAUGUUGUUCACAUCUGAAAAUAAAUAAUAUGCUGUAUUA